UGGUGCCUACGGGGGGCAGCAGUGGGGAAUAUUGCACAAUGGGCGCAAGCCUGAUGCAGCCAUGCCGCGUGUAUGAAGAAGGCCUUCGGGUUGUAAAGUACUUUCAGCGGGGAGGAAGGGAGUAAAGUUAAUACCUUUGCUCAUUGACGUUACCCGCAGAAGAAGCACCGGCUAACUCCGUGCCAGCAGCCGCGGUAAUACGGAGGGUGCAAGCGUUAAUCGGAAUUACUGGGCGUAAAGCGCACGCAGGCGGUUUGUUAAGUCAGAAGUGAAGUCCACUGGCUCAACC
rnacentral:rRNA from 1 species